AGAAAAGAAAUUUCCCAUCAAGUCAUGUGCUUUGUCCUUUCAGCCUCAUCUAGAUGAGAUUGUCUUAACUUCAAGGUUGGAGGGACGUGUUGGCCACAUCAACCCCCUCUUUCUGAGCCAACUCCGAGUCCCUGGUUUCCUUACCCUGCACGAGGCUCUGAGCGAAUCUCAGUUGAGCCGCAAACAAAUCACGUGGUCGCUGAAGCUCGUUGCUGUGGUUUUAGGGUCUCUCGUGCCCUCCCUCUUCCACUCUUGCCCCCACAUUUUGUAGCACAGCAGUUUCCGCUUGAGGCAGAAUCCGAUGGAACUGCGAAGAAAACUGCGGCAUUUUAGAGGAGUUUCCCAGCAACAGAAUCUCUUUUGGAGCCUUUUCGUACAGAGAAACAGGAGAGAAGGCCGUGUGUAGAUGGAACCAGAGAUUGGAAUCAUGCUGCCACAAGCCAAGGACUGCAAGAGCCACUAGAAGCUGGAAAGAAGCAAGGAAGCAUUUUCCCCUAAAGCCUUAGGAGAGAGCAUAGCCCUGCUGACGUCUUGAUCUCACACUUCUGGCCUCUGAGAGAAUAAAUUUCUACUAUUUUAAGUCA